AGGGAUGUAACUCAGUGGUAGAGUGCUUGCCUAGCAUGUAUGAAGCUCUGGGUUUAAUUCCCAAUACCUCAA
rnacentral:tRNA from 1 species